AUGUUAGCGAUGAACGCACUUUUCUUUAGGGGCCUGUUAGCUUUUACGUGCACUUUAUUCAUGUUUGUACACCAGUCACUGUCGUUGGGGAGCUGCGUGCCUUACAGCUUCUCCAUCUGUUGGUUGAAGAAGAACAGCGCGUCGCCUGACAGCUCGCAGCUCAGCAUCCGGCUAAACGGCACGGAGGUGGCGUCCGUGGGGAAGCCGGGGAAAUACGCGUCGGUGACGUUUCUGAGGUCCGGAGCCCACUCACUGACCCUGCAGCGCGGCGACGCCGAACGGACGUGGCUCUUUUCCGUCGCCGCACGUGAGAUAAUAAUAAUAAUAAUAAUAAUUCUAACCAUUGUAAUACAAACAACUAUUC
rnacentral:lncRNA from 1 species